UGGAAAUGAUGAUCUUGAGAUUUGGGGUGGAGUGAGAAUGUGUCUGUUUUUUUUUGUUUUUGUUUUUUUACUUAAGUGCUAGUUAUUCUAGUAUUUAGAGGGGUGGGGGGGGGAAUGAGGCCUAUGGUUAUUACAAGGAGACCCUGAAUACACAUUGCUGUUAUUGGAGUGCAUCUGAGGAAUGUUGAACAAUAAAGGGCUUUACUGCAACAUUUCCGAUGAUUAGAGCCCUAAACUUGGUUCCCUCUAAUAACCAGCACACCCUAAUAUCUCUGACAGGUGCAGAAUUAUGUGUCUGUGAUCUGAUCCAA